CACAGGAGAGCUUGCUCUCUGGGUGACGAGCGGCGGACGGGUGAGUAAUGUCUGGGAAACUGCCCGAUGGAGGGGGAUAACUACUGGAAACGGUAGCUAAUACCGCAUAACGUCUUCGGACCAAAGAGGGGGACCUUCGGGCCUCUUGCCAUCGGAUGUGCCCAGAUGGGAUUAGCUAGUAGGUGGGGUAAUGGCUCACCUAGGCGACGAUCCCUAGCUGGUCUGAGAGGAUGACCAGCCACACUGGAACUGAGACACGGUCCAGACUCCUACGGGAGGCAGCAGUGGGGAAUAUUGCACAAUGGGCGCAAGCCUGAUGCAGCCAUGCCGCGUGUAUGAAGAAGGCCUUCGGGUUGUAAAGUACUUUCAGCGAGGAGGAAGGCGUUGCGGUUAAUAACCGCAGCGAUUGACGUUACUCGCAGAAGAAGCACCGGCUAACUCCGUGCCAGCAGCCGCGGUAAUACGGAGGGUGCAAGCGUUAAUCGGAAUUACUGGGCGUAAAGCGCACGCAGGCGGUCUGUCAAGUCGGAUGUGAAAUCCCCGGGCUCAACCUGGGAACUGCAUUCGAAACUGGCAGGCUAGAGUCUUGUAGAGGGGGGUAGAAUUCCAGGUGUAGCGGUGAAAUGCGUAGAGAUCUGGAGGAAUACCGGUGGCGAAGGCGGCCCCCUGGACAAAGACUGACGC
rnacentral:rRNA from 2 species